ACUCUUGAGAGUCCCUUGGACGGCAAGGAGAUCCAACCAGUCCAUCCUAAAGGAAAUCAAUCCUGAAUAUUCAUUGGAAGGACUGAUGCUGAAGCCCCAAUACUUUGGCCACCUGAUGUGAAGAACUGUCUCACUGGAAAAGACCCUGAUGCUGGGAAAGAUUGAAGGCAGGAGGAGAAGGGGGACGACAGAGGAUGAGAUGGUUGGAUGGCAUCACUGAGUCAGUGAACAUGAGUUUGAGCAAGCUCCGGGAGUUGGUGAUGAACAGGAAGCCUGGCGGGCUGCAGUCUGUGGUGCUGCAGAGUCAGACACAACAGCCUCUGCUCCUCUGUGGCCAAGUUUCCUGAGAUCACCUCCCAGACCAGUCACUUGUGUUUGCUCCCUUGCUUCAGGGACUGCUUCUGGAAACCUCAAACUGUGGCAACAGGAAAAACCCUGUAGAGAAGCCCACCCAGCAUUUCCUAUUAGACUGAAAACAACAUAUCACUCCUAUUUCUUGUGCACAGCUGAUUUCCUGUGCCGGACUCUGACGCAUCAUUUUGAGUGGCAAAAUAUAACCCAAUGUGACUGGGAAUUGCAUACUCGAGUAAUGGAGCAAGUCAGAAAAAGACGAAUGCCCAGCAAUCUUGCUCUGUUUGCACGUUCCAGGG
ensembl:lncRNA